rnacentral:tRNA from 1 species
GGGCCGGUGGUGGAAUCGGCAGACACAACGGACUUAAAAUCCGUUGCUCGUAAGAGCGUGAGGGUUCAAGUCCCUCCCGGCCCACCA